rnacentral:rRNA from 1 species
CCUACGGGAGGCUGCAGUGGGGAAUAUUGCACAAUGGGGGAAACCCUGAUGCAGCGACGCCGCGUGAGUGAAGAAGUCGUUCGGUAUGUAAAGCUCUAUCAGCAGGGAAGAAAAUGACGGGACCUGAGCAAGAAGCCCCGGCUAACGUCGUGCCGGCAGCCGCGGUAAUACGUAGGGGGCAAGCGUUAUCCGGAUUUACUGGGUGUAAAGGGGGCGUAGACGGCGCUGCAAGUCUGGAGUGAAAGGCGGGGGCUCAACCCCCGGAAGGCCCUGGAAACUGUACGGCUGGAGUGCAGGAGAGGUAAGCGGAAUGCCCAGUGUAGCGGUGAAAUGCGUAGAUAUCAGGAGGAACACCAGUGGCGAAGGCGGCUUACUGGACUGUAACUGACGUUGAGGCACGAAAGCGUGGGGAGCGAACAGGAUUAGAUACCCGAGUAGUC